UGGGAAGUUUUGUGAACCUUAACACUUAGAGGAAGGAGAAGUCGUAACAAGGUUUCCGUAGGUGAACCUGCGGAAGGAUCAUUCACACGUUUUGAAACGUCUGAAGGGAUGAUGAUAUACCUUGUUGCUUCGUUUGCAAGCACAAAUAUAUCGUCGUCUUAUUUUAACCAUAAUUUCAACAACUGAAUCCCCCCAUAUCGAGACCAAUGGUAAUUAACUUUACGCGCGAUUACGUUCGUAAAAAAGUUAUUAUCAUUGUGUAUAUGUCAUGUAUAUAUGUGUUCAUCCUUUUGUAGGGUUGGGGAGACUUGUGGUUGGAACUUGCAGUGAUGAACUGCUUUUUCUUCCAUCUUUCCCCUCCUCGCUCAAGAAUGAACAACAUGAUAUAUACAUGAAGAAGAGGGAAAUGCCGGGCACAACAUGUUGUUGUUGUGCUUUGGGGUCUUUUCCUUCUGAGAAUUUAGGAUGGUGUAGCCAGAGGAUCUUUUCUGGAGAUGAUAGUAGAGAAAAAUCAUAGGUCGUUCUCCUCUUCUUCAGGUAACGGCCUCUUGUUUUUUUCUGGUAUUGUCGUCGAGAUGAGAUCAUGCUGGCGGCAUCAUUCUUUUUUCUCAACGUUUUUUCUCACAUCGUAUUCCUUUAUUAUGUUGAGCCAGGCAGAGGGAGAGGGGAUGAAAUUGGCAGUGGAUGAGUAGUGUGAUACUUAUGUUUCGUCUUUUUUAAAGAUGAGACAUGUAUACCACUACAAUCGUGUACUGCGCUUUGAUUUCUAUCAACUUGAACGCUGUCUGCGUCUCAACGAAGCUGUUCAAGAGUAAAGAAGGAGAGCAUAUUUGAAUGGGCACACGACCACCUUCAAGAGGAGGGAGGGAGGUGUGUUUGUUCAUUUGCUUUUUUUUCUUUAUUACAAAACUAAAUAAUCUACUAUUUUCAGCGAUGGAUGUCUUGGCUCGCGCAACGAUGAAGGACGCAGUGAAAUGCGAAACGCA
rnacentral:misc_RNA from 1 species